rnacentral:rRNA from 1 species
UGACAGCCCCGUACACAAAAAUGCACAUGCUGUGAGCUCGAUGAGUAGGGCGGGACACGUGGUAUCCUGUCUGAAUAUGGGGGGACCAUCCUCCAAGGCUAAAUACUCCUGACUGACCGAUAGUGAACCAGUACCGUGAGGGAAAGGCGAAAAGAACCCCGGCGAGGGGAGUGAAAAAGAACCUGAAACCGUGUACGUACAAGCAGUGGGAGCACGCUUAGGCGUGUGACUGCGUACCUUUUGUAUAAUGGGUCAGCGACUUAUAUUCUGUAGCAAGGUUAACCGAAUAGGGGAGCCGAAGGGAAACCGAGUCUUAACUGGGCGUUAAGUUGCAGGGUAUAGACCCGAAACCCGGUGAUCUAGCCAUGGGCAGGUUGAAGGUUGGGUAACACUAACUGGAGGACCGAACCGACUAAUGUUGAAAAAUUAGCGGAUGACUUGUGGCUGGGGGUGAAAGGCCAAUCAAACCGGGAGAUAGCUGGUUCUCCCCGAAAGCUAUUUAGGUAGCGCCUCGUGAAUUCAUCUCCGGGGGUAGAGCACUGUUUCGGCAAGGGGGUCAUCCCGACUUACCAACCCGAUGCAAACUGCGAAUACCGGAGAAUGUUAUCACGGGAGACACACGGCGGGUGCUAACGUCCGUCGUGAAGAGGGAAACAACCCAGACCGCCAGCUAAGGUCCCAAAGUCAUGGUUAAGUGGGAAACGAUGUGGGAAGGCCCAGACAGCCAGGAUGUUGGCUUAGAAGCAGCCAUCAUUUAAAGAAAGCGUAAUAGCUCACUGGUCGAGUCGGCCUGCGCGGAAGAUGUAACGGGGCUAAACCAUGCACCGAAGCUGCGGCAGCGACGCUUAUGCGUUGUUGGGUAGGGGAGCGUUCUGUAAGCCUGCGAAGGUGUGCUGUGAGGCAUGCUGGAGGUAUCAGAAGUGCGAA